GACGAACCGAGCGAACGUUGUUCGGAAUCACUGGGCUUAAAGGGCGCGGAGGCGGGCUGCCAAGUUUGGGGUGAAAUCCUCCGGCUCAACCGGAGCAGUGCCUCGAAUUCUGGCGGUCUCGAGGGAGGGAGGGGCGUGCGGAACUGGGGGUGGAGCGGUGAAAUGCGUUGAUAUCCACAGGAACUCCGGUGGCGAAGGCGGCACGCUGGACCUUUUCUGACGCUGAGGCGCGAAAGCCAGGGGAGCGAACGGG
rnacentral:rRNA from 1 species